rnacentral:rRNA from 1 species
AUGCAGAAUUCAGUGGAAUCAUCGAAUCUUUGAACGCACAUUGCGCCCCUUGGUAUYCCGAGGGGCAUGCCUGUUCGAGCGUCAUU